rnacentral:rRNA from 1 species
AGCGAGCGCUGGCGGCAGGCCUAACACAUGCAAGUCGAACGAACUCUUCGGAGUUAGUGGCGGACGGGUGAGUAACACGUGGGAACGUGCCUUUAGGUUCGGAAUAACUCAGGGAAACUUGUGCUAAUACCGAAUGUGCCCUUCGGGGGAAAGAUUUAUCGCCUUUAGAGCGGCCCGCGUCUGAUUAGCUAGUUGGUGAGGUAAAGGCUCACCAAGGCGACGAUCAGUAGCUGGUCUGAGAGGAUGAUCAGCCACAUUGGGACUGAGACACGGCCCAAACUCCUACGGGAGGCAGCAGUGGGGAAUCUUGCGCAAUGGGCGAAAGCCUGACGCAGCCAUGCCGCGUGAAUGAUGAAGGUCUUAGGAUUGUAAAAUUCUUUCACCGGGGACGAUAAUGACGGUACCCGGAGAAGAAGCCCCGGCUAACUUCGUGCCAGCCGCCGCAGUAAUAC